GUGGGGAAUCUUCCACAAUGGACGAAAGUCUGAUGGAGCAACGCCGCGUGAGUGAAGAAGGUCUUCGGAUCGUAAAACUCUGUUGUUAGAGAAGAACGUGCGUGAUAGUAACUGAUCAUGUAAUGACGGUAUCUAACCAGAAAGCCACGGCUAACUACGUGCCAGCAGCCGCGGUAAUACGUAGGUGGCAAGCGUUGUCCGGAUUUAUUGGGCGUAAAGGGAACGCAGGCGGUUUUUUAAGUCUGAUGUGAAAGCCUUCGGCUUAACCGAAGAAUAGCAUUGGAAACUGGAAGACUUGAGUGCAGAAGAGGAGAGUGGAAUUCCAUGUGUAGCGGUGAAAUGCGUAGAUAUAUGGAGGAACACCAGUGGCGAAAGCGGCUCUCUGGUCUGUAACUGACGCUGAGGUUCGAAAGCGUGGGUAGCAAACAGGAUUAGAAACCCGGGUAGUCC
rnacentral:rRNA from 1 species